rnacentral:ncRNA from 14 species
AUCUUAAAAGGAAAGAGGUUUUGCAAAUGGAUAUCGCUGGUGUUAUUACAAGCAUUAUUGAUUUAAUCAAGACUUGCAUUCAAACUUUCGGUUAAUUUUCAGUUUUAUUGCAUUAAAAAGGCAGAGGAAAUAUUCAAUCUUUUGAUUGUUUC